AAACGAACAACAAGAACAAAAAAAAUGUUGAUGCAUAGGCAUAAAGCCUAUUUUGGUACAAGCUUGUAUGGACACCUAUUUUAGAAGUGAACCAUAACAAGCCCAAAUGUUUUCUUUUCGACACUAACACUGCUUUAAUAGUAACUGCC